AUAAGGUCUCGGCACUGCGCCAUUCCCUUCUCUCGCUCCUGUUGGCUCCAGUCUCUAUUAGCUUUAAAUACUGAUGCAUAUGUAAAGGGCACAUUCGGCUGCGGGGAGAGAGCGACACCUGCUGGCCGUGGGCAGAUGCAGAAGUCGUUGCUUUGCUCAGAGAAGAGAAUUUUCUGCAGUCGCCGAAUAAGGAAAAUUUGAAGCUUCAGGACACGAAAAUAAAAAUCCACAUUGUAUCCUGUUCUUACUUUUUCUCCAGGUAUCGGCAGUUUUUAAUUGUGGCGCAGUUUGAGCGCAGAGUAGGCGCACAGGUCUCCCAGUCCCUGUUCCUGCCCCAUCCAAAUGUACUACUGUGUUAAAUAGAAAGUGCUAUUUACUGCUCGUAUGAUGAAACCGAUUCAAUCAGUUGUUUCUAUGAGAGUACAGUGAAUUGUGUUUGCUGCACCGCCUACAGUUACAUAUUCGUUGGAAUGGAACCUCCCCUGAUUACAGUAAAACAGUUGUUAUUAUAGUACAUAAUAUGUCUCUAUAUACAGACACGCCGCCUGUAUGCAAUGACUUUGUGCAUAUUCAAUAAAGCAAAUACUUUCAGAAUAAAUACUGUUGAAUUGUGCUUGCGCACACACAAGCCAAUUGCCGGUUAUACAUUUCUUUGGAGUAUUAAAUACAGGGCUGGAUUUACAUAGCGGGUGCCCUAGGCCAACUGUCGUUUUUCACCC